rnacentral:rRNA from 1 species
GAGCACGUAGGUGGGUUUGUAAGUCAGAUGUGAAAGCCUUCUGUUCAACGGGAGAAUUGCAUCUGAAACUGCUAAUCUUGAGUAUAGGAGGGGAGAAUGGAACUUUUGGUGGAGCGGUGAAAUGCGUAGAUAUCAGAAGGAACGCCGGCGGCGAAAGCGAUUCUCUGGCCUAUUACUGACACUCAGUGUGCGAGAGCUAGGGGAGCAAACGGGAUAGAUACCCCGAGCCCGCAGAU